UUAUAUCGAUGGUAAUGGAGACCGGCACCGAGUAAGCAAGGGGAGCUCUAGAGCAGGUACCUACAAAAUGAUUUUGUUUUACCUCACUUCAAUUUUUAGGACUGUUUCUUAUCUUCAAUGAUUUAACCUUUAAAAUCUUUUCUUUUGAUGAUAUUCAGAGUCUUGAUUUCUUCAACACAAGAGCUGAUCUAUGGAAGAGAGACCACUUAGCAAUCGAUAAGUACCAUGUGCGUGGACUGAGGUCAUUAGUUGUUGCAGGACGGACUGUACCUGAAAAAAAUAAACCUCUGGUGGUCCAUGUGAAAUCUUUGGUGGGUUGCCUUUGUUUGAUCCCCCAAGACAUUAUAGUGCAUACACAUUAGAAGAGCUUUUAAGACCUCGGUGUCAACAUUAAUGAUCACUGGUUAAUAUCUAUCUAUAUACUUUUAUCUUUGACUUUAAUCUUCCUUAUGUUGUAUUGCUUUUAUUAUAGUUGGUUAACUUGCUAUUGCCAAAGAGACUCGACCUAAGCUCGGUACGGGAUCAAACAUGAUCCAUAGCAUCAGCUUCUACCGGGAUAAGAGAGCCAUCCGAGGGAGUUUAGGCAGCCAAGUGACCUUUUCUAAUCUCUAUUCUCCACAUGUUUCUAUUUUUACCGACUAUGAUCUAAUCCUAACUAUGUUUUUUCUUUUUAUUGGUUAGGUUAUAUUCUUUGCCAAGACUGAUGACUGUCAGACUGAUGAUUUUACGAGAAGGUAUAUAUCGAUGGUAUUUUCAGAUGAUGAAUAUUGUAUGUUAAGUUUAGUUCUUUAGCUUUUCUCUUAACAUGUACUAUAUUUUAUCUUGCAGUUUAUAAUGUCGCUGUAAAAAAAAGAAACUUCUGAUGACAUUCUUGACUUUAUUCGGAAUAGAGGAUGCAAUAUAUUGUAAGUUUCUGAUCCUGGUACCGGUCUCUUUGACUAACACUUUGUGAUCUAUUGAUGAUAAAGCUACAAGCCAUUGCUAAUUAGUCUAAUGUUUACUUAGCAGAUUGUUGAUUUUGGUAACAACCUGAACUCCAAGAAACCGUUCCAGUCAGGUCCAUCGCCAAGCAUAAAAGUACAAUAUUUUCCUUAUAUUCUUUCCUUCCAAUUAUUCAACAUAGUAACUGAAUCAUGUGAUUUAUAUUGGAUUUUGUAAAUCAGGGUUUUUGUUGAGAACUUGCGUAUGGAACCUUUUCUCAUUACUAUAUGUCAGAGCUGGUUCUAGAAAAUGUGAGAAUGAAAUUUUUAUUUCUUUUUGGGAUAAAUUUAGACCAUAUAUAUAUAUAUGAGUUAAGAUCAAGUAACACAUGAAAUUUGCAGGAAAAUGCAAGCAUAUGGGUCUGGUAGGAAAGACUUCUGAUCAUUUGGUAUAAGCGUCCAGACUCCAAAAAAUAUUUUAUCUAGCGGUCAGUAAACCUAUGGAAGCACAAAUACUGUGGAACAUACAAAAUACAAAUUUAACGUGUGCAUAUAACAUACGGAGGUGGAAUCACAACAUGUAAGGACAAUCACAACAUACAGAAGUGGAAUCAGAAAAAAAAAGAACACUUGGAGGAGGGUGUUCAACGACAAGAACAAUAAACUACAUCUACGUAUUGUAGACAUUGAUCGUUGUAACCAAGUGACCGAUACGUUUGUACAACUAACAAUGACAACACAUUCCAUUUUUGACAGAACAUCAACUAUUAAAGUCUCUGACAUUGAAUUAGGUAAGAUCGGAGAAAUCAACUAAGUCGAUGAUGAUAUAAUAAGUCUGAUCAUUUUAUAAGUGAAAAGCAAUGACAGACCAAAUCGGCAAACAAAUAGAAACUAAGAUAUAGAUCAUACUAACCUCGCGCUUGCGCGGAGUGAAGACACCUAGUCUAUAUUAUAAUAGGAGAGUUUUUGCUCUUUCCUAAGCAUGUCCACGUCAGCAGGUAAUUUUUUGUGGAUCCCACUAAAACAAUAAAUAUUGCAUAAGCAAUUUUUUUUCGCCCACGUAAUUUUUUGUCUUUUUGGUUUCUAUAUAUCAUUUGUCUUUUGGUUUGGUUAUCUUAAUAUAUACUCCCUUUGUUUCAAAAUACAUGAUAUUUUGACUCAUUACACAAAGAUUAAAAAAUCUAUUUUUGUCUAAAAAGUAACUUUACAAAUAUAAUUUAAAAUUCAUUCAACCAAUUAAAGUUAAAAUAAUAUAAAUAUAUCAAAACUUCAUCUGUUUUGAAACAAUAAACCUCUUCUAGAACAUCAACUAUUAUGAAACGGAGGGAGGAGUAUAUACCAUACGCUACAAAACCAUAAACGAACCCAAUAAAUUUUGAAGUCCAUGUCAUGUCUGCUUAGUAAUGAUGUCGUUUGAAGUUUGAACCCCAAAAAAAAUCUAAACUCUGCGUUUAAUGUGUUACUCAAUUAGGUUGGAAAUCGUCUCCAUCUUCCACGAUACAACAUCACCGUCUCUGUCGAUGUUAAAAAAAAUCUUCUCUAUCAACUUUUGACUUCCCAUAUCUCUUGCAACUUUGUCUCUUGCUUACCCUCCAUUCAACGUCUCUCCUAAUAUAUACAAUGAAUCUUCAGUUCACAUUGAAAUCAUUAAAUCCCACCAACUCUCCGUCUCCAUACAUUUACAAUAGAAGCCUUUAUGCGUGUUAAAACCGAUAAACACCUCAAACCUUAUAAAUAGGAGAGGCUAGGGUCUGGAAUCACGCCCCCACAAACUCCCUUUCUCAUUUUAUCUUCGCUCGAAAACCUAGAAGCUUCUUUCAAAAAUGUCUUCAUAUGAUGGUGUUGUCGCCCAAUCAGCCGCCCGACUUGGCCGCACUUCCCAAUCCAUUGUUGGUCUCCUCUUCUGCUUUUGCGAUUUCCGUAAUAUCAAGAAAUGGGAAUCACUCUUCUUUUCCUGGAUGAAAAGGCAUUUUUAUUUUCACUCUAUCAAGCAUUAUAUAUCAUAUAUUCCAUUCCAUCUCUACUCUAUCUAAUUGAUUUUUUUUUUAAAUGUUUCGGUUUACUCUUCUUCCUGCUUACGCAGAGAUCUGUGAUACGGACGGAUGGAUCACUACCGUCCCGGUUCCAUCAUCAAAGUUGAUAGGUUUUGAAGUUGAAAGAUUUUUAUCGGUUUAUAGCCUCCUACAAAGGCUGGCCGUUGUCUUAUACACCGGAUGCAACAGGAAGUUGGACAAAUUUGGCACUUCUCUCUGUUGUAACAAAUAUGUUGCUCCCGACGUUACAGGUGUGAUCAGGUACCAUGUCGAACUAUACUUGCAACUAGGUACGGCAACGAUAGUGACAUACGUGGUCUUCAACAGGGAGAUAACCAAGAUCACUAAGCAAGAUGCUGCUACUCUGGUUCUGCUCUGGCUCUUGAGGGAGUUCAUCUUUUGGUUUUACACUUCAUUUGACCCAUGUUUAGAACUGUAACAAGCACUAAUUGUUUCACAAUCGUACUAUAGAAUGGCGGUGGAGGGCAAGAACUACCAAGAUGUCUUGAAAAGCUUGCUGGCAAGGAAUACGUUUUUCAGAUACGUGCCACUCGAUACAAUUUUGUCCCAAACCACCGUGUCUGCAGUCAGUGACACCGAGAGUAGCAGCAGCUUCAAAGCUCCAGUUAUUGGAGCGGAAGGUCGAGAAGCUACAGCUUCUGCAAGUAACACGAUUCCAGCGGCGAAGAUAGAAAUCGGAGGCGAUGAAGCAAAUCCGGCAGGUUUUGAAGGCUAAGAUAAUAGCUGCAAACGCCCCUAAGUGAUAGUUUCAGUUCCAGGAGUGUUCGUACAUUUAAGUUUUCUAAAUUCUUAUGUUUUUACCUA